AACACAGGUCCCUGUACAUGUGAGGCAAAGGCUCUACCCCAGGGCUGCAUCUCCAGGCUUUGUUUGAACACAUAAUUGUUUCCCCUCUUAAUUAUUAAUAUUUCUAUUAAUGGACUUGCCAAGCAUAUACAAAAGUAGAGUGACUAGCAUAACAAACUGCCAAAUAUUCGUCUCCCUGCACUACCCACAGUCUCUGUUAAUAGCUCUUAUCCUGAAGUGGAUUUAGUUUGGCAUCAAUGAAGUCGUUCCAGUUUCCUUAAGAACAGCUUUGGCUUGCUAUUGCCACUGCGUCCUGAACUGCCACAACCUAGAGGCACUGUGCACUGCUACUGAUCUGCACUUUCAACAGCUGGUUAUCUUUAAAGGAAACGUUGUAAAGUGUUUUCUGAGUAUUUGGACAAACAUCAGAAGAGAGUGUUGGGUUCCCUGGAACAGCUGUGAACCGCCUCGUGGGUGCUAGGAACUGAACCAGGAUUUUCUGCAGUUGUAUCGAGUGCUUUUACCUGGCGGCAGAGAUUGUGUUCCGAGUUCGCCCUCAUCAUAAAGCUGUGGUUUUGUUAAACAGCACAGGAAUGAGAAUGGCACAGGGAAGCAGGACGUUCCGGAUACAACUUCUGGAAGACAAGCUAUGCAAGGCCUCCUGGUGAUGGCAUUGGCUGAGCAUUGGCUGAGCAAGGCAGAGCGGGUGAUGGUGCCCACCUGGCUGUGUGUGCCUCGGUAAUGAGCUGUCAUGUGUGACAACGUACGGUUCUUAGGUGAUCAAGUGUGCAGGAGGAGGCGCGUGCCCCGGCAGAUGACAGCUGCCAACUCGAGGACAGACUGACAGAAGCACAAAAGAAGCAACCUUUUCCUAUACUUAAAACUAUUUUUAACUAAAAGAGCAUCUCAUUACGAAGAUGCUACAUGUGUAUGAAGCGAAAAUCAUUUUCUAUUCCCCCCAACUCGCCCCCCAGCCCCAGGCUUCAUAGAUGCCCACUGGAAUCAUCACAGUACACAAUCUUCAAGACGGUAU